UACGUAGGUGGCAAGCGUUGUCCGGAAUGACUGGGCGUAAAGGGAGCGUAGGCGGCGCAGUAAGUUAGGAGUGAAAUCCCGGGGCUCAACCCCGGAACUGCUUUUAAAACUGCUGUGCUUGAGUGAUGGAGAGGAAAGCGGAAUUCCUAGUGUAGCGGUGGAAUGCGUAGAUAUUAGGAGGAACACCGGUGGCGAAGGCGAAUUGCUGGACUGUAACUGACACUGAGGCACGAAAGCGUGGGGAGCAAACAGG
rnacentral:rRNA from 1 species